GUUGACCUCGGAUCAGGUAGGGAUACCCGCUGAACUUAAGCAUAUCAAUAAGCGGAGGAAAAGAAACCAACAGGGAUUGCUCUAGUAACGGCGAGUGAAGCAGCAAUAGCUCAAAUUUGAAAUCUGGCGUCUUCGACGUCCGAGUUGUAAUUUGUAGAGGAUGCUUCUGAGUAACCACCGACCUAAGUUCCUUGGAACAGGACGUCAUAGAGGGUGAGAAUCCCGUAUGCGGUCGGAAAGGUGCUCUAUACGUAGCUCCUUCGACGAGUCGAGUUGUUUGGGAAUGCAGCUCUAAAUGGGAGGUAAAUUUCUUCUAAAGCUAAAUAUUGGCCAGAGACCGAUAGCGCACAAGUAGAGUGAUCGAAAGAUGAAAAGCACUUUGGAAAGAGAGUUAAAAAGCACGUGAAAUUGUUAAAAGGGAAGGGAUUGCAACCAGACUUGCUCGCGGUGUUCCGCCGGUCUUCUGACCGGUCUACUCGCCGCGUUGCAGGCCAGCAUCGUCUGGUGCCGCUGGAUAAGACUCGAGGAAUGUAGCUCCCUCGGGAGUGUUAUAGCCUCUUGUGAUGCAGCGAGCGCCGGGCGAGGUCCGCGCUUCGGCUAGGAUGCUGGCGUAAUGGUCGUAAUCCGCCCGUCUUGAAACACGGACCAAGGAGUCUAACAUCUAUGCGAGUGUUCGGGUGUCAAACCCCUACGCGUAAUGAAAGUGAACGGAGGUGAGAACCGCAAGGUGCAUCAUCGACCGAUCCUGAUGUCUUCGGAUGGAUUUGAGUAAGAGCAUAGCUGUUGGGACCCGAAAGAUGGUGAACUAUGCCUGAAUAGGGUGAAGCCAGAGGAAACUCUGGUGGAGGCUCGCAGCGGUUCUGACGUGCAAAUCGAUCGUCAAAUUUGGGUAUAGGGGCGAAAGACUAAUCGAA
rnacentral:rRNA from 1 species